UCCUGUGCGGAGCGUGAACGCCGGGUUUCCACAUCCUCCAGCCCAGCAUCACCGUGGGCACAUGGCGCGGUGCCCGGGCCCACAGUUAAUCCCCUCAUCUGGCUCCCUCCCCCCUCCGGCUGCUGACAUCUUCAGCAUGGUGAUAUUGCGUUUCGAGUCAAGACUGUCAGAACUCAUUCCGAUAUAAAAAGCUGAAGAGUUCAGGACAAACACGUCAGACUUCAGGGAGAUUGAAGACGUGGAUGGUUGUUUGUGGAUGUUUCCUUUGUGUUGUUAGAUCCUGAUUGAGUUUCCUGCUGUUGGGUUCGUCAGAGCUCUUUGUUUCAUGGGACACUCAAAUACACAACAUUGUUUCCUGAGGCUGACUGGGCUAAAACGGAUCUGUUGGCCAUAAAUACUGAAGUAAAGACGACGAACACGAAUGUCAAGUGACGCUUGAAAAGCU